UGGAGCGAGAGUUAGAGCUAUCUCCUCUCUUUGAGAUGGUGCCAGUUACAUGGUGUAAAGAGAAAAAGAUUGGCCAAAGUCAUAAGCAACACAACUGUGCUGGAGAAAAGUGUAAGCUUCAAGAGAGAUCUUCAAGAUGCUUUCAAUGAAAUAGGAAGUAACAAUGUGGCUUGAACAAUUGUAUGAAAAAAAUUAGGACAACUUUAGUUAAUUUAAUUGCAUUGAAAAUUAUAGAUAUAUUUUCCAUGGCCCACUGGAGUGAUAACUUUUGUGGUACAACUUACCUUGGAGACUGAGUUUACAAAGGUCCCUCCACGGUGUUGGCUGAACUGCAGCUGUCCCUGCCUGGAAACACAGGAUCUCUGAGGGAUGGGGAGCUGGAGGAAGAGUCCACGGCUUGUCUGAGAAG